rnacentral:sRNA from 1 species
GGGUCCGUGGACCCCGGCCAAAAGAAAUUGACCAAACAUAACCGCGACUCGCGGAUUUGGAAGCUUCGCGUACCAAUAUAGUACAGAAACUGUAUCAAUAAU